AACUUUUAGUUUAAUUUAGAAUUUUUUCAUUUACACUGAAAAGGUUGAAAGUUU
rnacentral:tRNA from 1 species